rnacentral:tRNA from 1 species
GCCUGGGUGGCUCAGUCGGUUAAGCGUCUGACUUCAGCUCAGGUCAUGACCUCACGGUUCUUGGGUUCAAGCCCCACGUUGGGCU